rnacentral:rRNA from 1 species
GAUGAACGCUAGCGGCAGGCCUAAUACAUGCAAGUCGAACGGUGUCUUCGGACAUAGUGGCGCACGGGUGCGUAACACGUAUGCAACCUACCUUACAUUGGGGGAUAGCCUUUCGAAAGGGAGAUUAAUACCGCAUAAGACAGUAGCUGGGCAUCCAGCAGCUGUUAAAGAUUUAUCGAUGUAAGCUGGGCAUGCGUCCAAUUAGCUAGUUGGUGAGGUAACGGCUCACGAAGGCAAUGAUUGGUAGGGGAACUGAGAGGUCAAUCCCCCACACUGGCACUGAGAUACGGGCCAGACUCCUACGGGAGGCAGCAGUAGGGAAUAUUGGGCAAUGGACGCAAGUCUGACCCAGCCAUGCCGCGUGCAGGAUGGAGGCGUUAUGCGUUGUAAACUGCUUUUAUACAGGAAGAAACGACUCUUGCGAGAGGCAUUGACGGUACUGUAUGAAUAAGCACCGGCUAACUCCGUGCCAGCAGCCGCCGUAACAC